GACGAACCGUGCGAACGUUGUUCGGAAUCACUGGGCUUAAAGCGCGUGUAGGCGGUCCGGUAAGUCCGCUGUGAAAGUCGGGGGCUCAACCCUCGGAUGCCGGUGGAUACUGUCGGGCUCGAGUACGGAAGAGGCGAGUGGAAUUCCUGGUGUAGCGGUGAAAUGCGCAGAUAUCAGGAGGAACACCAAUUGCGAAGGCAGCUCGCUGGGACGUUACUGACGCUGAGACGCGAAAGCGUGGGGAGCAAACAGG
rnacentral:rRNA from 1 species